rnacentral:tRNA from 1 species
GCGGAUGUGGCGGAAUUGGCAGACGCACUGGAUUUAGGUUCCAGCGGGCAACCGUGGGGGUUCGAGUCCCUUCAUCCGCA